ACGAACGCUGGCGGCGCGUCUUAAACAUGCAAGUCGAACGAUCUGUAGCAAUACAGGGAGUGGCGGACGGGUGAGGAACACGUAGGAAUCUACCUAGAAGAGCGGGACAACUUUGGGAAACCGGGGCUAAUACCGCAUAGUACAGCGAUGUUAAAGGGCUAGCAAUAGUCGCUUCUGGAUGAGCCUGCGGUCUAUCAGCUUGUUGGCGGGGUAACGGCCCACCAAGGCUACGACGGAUAGCCGGUCUGAGAGGAUGAUCGGCCACACUGGCACUGAGACACGGGCCAGACUCCUACGGGAGGCAGCAGUUAAGAAUCUUGCGCAAUGGACGAAAGUCUGACGCAGCGACGCCGCGUGAAGGAUGAAGGCUUUCGGGUUGUAAACUUCGGUAGACUGGGAAGAAAAAGUAUGUUCGUUGAGGGCAUACAUUGACGGUACCAGUCUGAAGCCCCGGCUAAUUACGU
rnacentral:rRNA from 1 species